rnacentral:rRNA from 1 species
CUGAAUGGAGGACCGAACCGACUUACGUUGAAAAGUGAGCGGAUGAACUGAGGGUAGCGGAGAAAUUCCAAUCGAACCUGGAGAUAGCUGGUUCUCUCCGAAAUAGCUUUAGGGCUAGCCUCAAGUGGUGAUUAUUGGAGGUAGAGCACUGUUUGGACGAGGGGCCCCUCUCGGGUUACCGAAUUCAGACAAACUCCGAAUGCCAAUUAAUUUAACUUGGGAGUCAGAACAUGGGUGAUAAGGUCCGUGUUCGAAAGGGAAACAGCCCAGACCACCAGCUAAGGUCCCAAAAUAUAUGUUAAGUGGAAAAGGAUGUGGCGUUGCCCAGACAACUAGGAUGUUGGCUUAGAAGCAGCCAUCAUUUAAAGAGUGCGUAAUAGCUCACUAGUCGAGUGACACUGCGCCGAAAAUGUACCGGGGCUAAACAUAUUACCGAAGCUGUGGAUUGUCCUUUGGACAAUGGUAGGAGAGCGUUCUAAGGGCGUUGAAGCAUGAUCGUAAGGACAUGUGGAGCGCUUAGAAGUGAGAAUGCCGGUGUGAGUAGCGAAAGACGGGUGAGAAUCCCGUCCACCGAUUGACUAAGGUUUCCAGAGGAAGGCUCGUCCGCUCUGGGUUAGUCGGGUCCUAAGC